UACGUAGGGCGCAAGCGUUGUCCGGAAUUAUUGGGCGUAAAGAGCUCGUAGGCGGCUUGUCGCGUCGGAUGUGAAAGCCCGGGGGCUUAACUCCGGGUCUGCAUUCGAUACGGGCAGGCUAGAGUGUGGUAGGGGGAGAUCGGAAUUCCUGGUGUAGCGGUGAAAAUGCGCAGAUAUCAGGAGGAACACCGGUGGCGAAGGCGGAUCUCUGGGCCAUUACUGACGCUGAGGAGCGAAAAGCGUGGGGGAGCGAACAGG
rnacentral:rRNA from 1 species